GUGGGGAAUAUUGCGCAAUGGGGGAAACCCUGACGCAGCGACACCAUGUGAAGGAUGAAGGCCCUAGGGUUGUAAACUUCUGUCUAGAGGAAAGAAUCAAUGACGGUACCUCUAAAGAAAGCACCGGCUAACUCCGUGCCAGCAGCCGCGGUAAUACGGAGGGUGCAAGCAUUAUUCGGAAUUACUAGGUGUAAAGGGCGUGUAGGCGGGAUUACAAGUCAGAUGUGAAAACUAUGGGCUCAACCCAUAGCCUGCAUUUGAAACUGUAGUUCUUGAGUGAUGGAGAGGCAGACGGAAUUCCUCGUGUAGCGGUGAAAUGCGUAGAUAUGAGGAGGAACACCAGUGGCGAAGGCGGCUCACUGGCUCGAUACUGACGCUGAGGUGCGAAAGCGUGGGGAGCAAACAGGAUUAGAUACCCUUGUAGUCC
rnacentral:rRNA from 1 species